rnacentral:rRNA from 1 species
UCCAGACUCCUACGGGAGGCAGCAGUGGGGAAUAUUGCACAAUGGGGGAAACCCUGAUGCAGCGACGCCGCGUGAGUGAAGAAGUAUUUCGGUAUGUAAAGCUCUAUCAGCAGGGAAGAAAAACCGACCAUAGGGUCGCUAGACGGUACCUGAUUAAGAAGCCCCGGCUAACUACGUGCCAGCAGCCGCGGUAAUACGUAGGGAGCGAGCGUUAUCCGGAAUUAUUGGGUGUAAAGGGUGCGUAGACGGGAAAACAAGUUAGUUGUGAAAUCCCUCGGCUUAACUGAGGAACUGCAACUAAAACUAUUUUUCUUGAGUGCAGGAGAGGUAAGUGGAAUUCCUAGUGUAGCGGUGAAAUGCGUAGAUAUUAGGAGGAACACCAGUGGCGAAGGCGACUUACUGGACUGUAACUGACGUUGAGGCACGAAAGUGUGGGGAGCAAACAGGAUUAGAUACCCUGGUA